GAUAUAAGGUGAGCUUGUCUUGCCAUUGAUGCCUACAUCAUAAAAUCAACUUGAACAACUGACCUUAAUACUUCUUAUUUGGUAGCUCCACUCAACCUGUUUUGGGUAAUUUGGUUCUCUCUAGUCUCAACUACCAUGUAGUUCUCACAGUCAAUCAUUUAUAAACUCGUAAUGGGUUAAUACCAAGUGACCAGAUCCCAUUACCAUGCACACACACGCAAUAAUUUUGCGUUGAUGUUAUCAUGCUUCGUAAUGAUGAUUUUUGACUUGUAUUUAUUUACCAUCUGGAAGGUCAAGUUAUUUCAGGACAUAGGCAUUUGAGAUGAUGCCAUAGGCAUUGUUUGUAAAGUUCUGUCCUUCGCUAAUAUACAGCCAUCCUGUACAAGAAAAUCCAGCCAGUGGUUGCAUAACUGCUUAUGUAUUUACUACGGUUCAGUCUAUGCAUCAACUCCUAACGGAGUAGAAAUAUCAGGACAUUAGUGCAUAUGGCUAAUAAUUCUUCAACAUUCUUGAACUCUUUCUCGUAUAUAUCCAGCUUCAAGUCAUAUCCUUCUUGCUGAAGGCUUUAUUCAAAGAAGAGUCAUAUGCUGGUUGUCCGUAUCAAAGAAUUCAUGAAAAAGCAAUAAAGGGGGAGGUUUUGAAUUCUAAGAACGAUCUCAGCAAAGAAAAGUUGUCCAGAAAUGUGUUGUCCAUAUCAAAGAGGAGUUGCAGCUAUGGGAUGAAGAGUCUUGAUGUUUAUAUUUUGAUGGGUGCAUCUGAAAAUUUUUAGUUAGUAUAUUUAUUGUAUGACACAUUUUAAAAUACAGUAUAAAGGUACAGUAUAGAAUGUAGACGUGCCAACUGGCACCUUAUUUUUUUAAUCCAACCUCAUAAAUUUGUCACUGAUAUCAGUGGCAUUCUAAAACCACUAAUAUCAGUGUGGAUUUA